UAAAAGUCAGGUCGGAUUAAGCCAUAGUACGGAAAAAGCUGUGCUACCUGUGAGCCCCGUCCAAGGACGUUAAAAGAAGUCAGGCCAUCACAAAAUGCCACGGCUUGAGUAAACCGUGCAGCCUGUAGCUCCACCUGAGGAGGUGUAAAAAACCUGGGAGGCCACAAACCAUGGAAGCUGUACGCAUGGCGUAGUGGACUAGCGGUUAGAGGAGACCCCUCCCUUACAAAUCGCAGCAAACAACGGGGGCCCAAGGUGAGAUGAAGCUGUAGUCUCACUGGAAGGACUAGAGG
rnacentral:lncRNA from 1 species